AUUGAACGCUGGCGGCAUGCUUUACACAUGCAAGUCGAACGGUAACAGGGUGCUUGCACCGCUGACGAGUGGCGAACGGGUGAGUAAUGCGUCGGAACGUGCCGAGUAGUGGGGGAUAACGCAGCGAAAGUUGUGCUAAUACCGCAUACGUACUGAGGUAGAAAGUGGGGGACCUUCGGGCCUCACGCUAUUCGAGCGGCCGACGUCUGAUUAGCUAGUAGGUGAGGUAAAGGCUCACCUAGGCGACGAUCAGUAGCGGGUCUGAGAGGAUGAUCCGCCACCCUGGGACUGAGACACGGCCCAGACUCCUACGGGAGGCAGCAGUGGGGAAUUUUGGACAAUGGGCGAAAGCCUGAUCCAGCCAUGCCGCGUGUCUGAAGAAGGCCUUCGGGUUGCAAAGGACUUUUGUCAGGGAGGAAAUCCCUAGUGCUAAUAACACUGGGGGAUGACAGUACCUGAAGAAUAAGCACCGGCUAACUACGUGCCAGCAGCCGCGGUAA
rnacentral:rRNA from 1 species